GAAAAAGAAGAAUGAGUUCCAAGAAGACUCUUUAUAUCAAACAAGAACUUCAAUCUCCCAGGGAGUCUUCUGGGAGUAGAUUUUGAAAGCAUACAAUGGGCUUAGUUUUAUUUCUUGCCUAGAAAAAUCCAAACAGCAGCUUAAUCAAACUUCAAUGCUGCAUAAAUACAUAAACUUCAAUCCAAAUUACUAGAAUAAGAUUCUACAAAGCUUAUCUCCACCACAUUGCUUUUGCAGCUUCCACUGGAGGACACUGCAUCAACAAUAUUUUAAGAAAAAUCCCUUCACAACUAAAUCAAUUCAAAGAAAUGAUACAAGAAAUGCUUUGCUUAAGUAGGCUGUAUGUCAAUGGAUUUCCAUAGCUGCUUUCAAAUUUUGGAAAGAACUGCUGUGCUGAAGUGGCAAUAAGCAGUGGCUACAAAACAAGUAUUAAUGUAUGAAGAAUGGCGAAUUUAUUCACUACCAAAUGUACUUAGAAUGCUUAGCACUAAGAAAUAAUCCAAGACCAAAUCUGCUUACGCUUUACAGGCUCAAGGAAAGCAGGUGUUGGGUUCCCAUCCUUCUUUUUCUAAGUCUCUCUGCAAUGAUAAAUGCCAGCUCCAGAGAUUGAGAAGCAUUCAGCCUGGGGUCACAAUGUGUGUGAUAGCGGGAGCCUAAGUCAUCAAAAGUUACUGUCCUAGACCCACCAAUGCACUCAGUCACAUUUUGGCCAGUCAUCUCUAGGUGGAUUCCUCCAGGGUGGCUUCCUUCUUGCUCAUGCACAUCGAAGAAAGCUCGGACCUCAGCCAGGAUUGAAUCGAAAGCACGGGUUUUGAGUCCACAUGGUGCCUUGAUGGUAUUCCCGUGCAUUGGAUCACAAACCCAUGUCACAAUCUGACCAGCGCCCCGUACAGCCCUGACCAAGUGGGAAAGUUUUACUCUCAUGUUCUCGGCACCCAUUCUAACAAUUACAGUAAUUCUUCCAGGCUUAUUGGCAGGGUUCAGGAUGUCAAUGAGCUUAAUUAGCUCUUUUGGAUCCAUUUUUUGACUCACCUUUAUUCCAAGAGGGUUCGCAACUCCUCUCAAAAACUCGACAUGAGCACCGUCUAGUUGCCUGGUUCUUUCCCCAACCCAAACCAUGUGAGCAGAACAAUCGUAGAAAAGACCAGAAGUUGAAUCCUCUCUUGUAAGUGCUUGUUCAUAAGGAAGAAGCAAGCACUCAUGGGAUGUCCAGAAAUCAGUUGUUGACAUGAUAGGGUGGUCAACUGUGAGUCCAGCAGCAGCCAUGAAUCCUAAGGCUUCAUCAACCCUGUGAGCUAGUUCCUGAUACCUAUCUCCCUGUUCACUGUUCUCCACAAAAUCAAGAUUCCAUU
rnacentral:misc_RNA from 1 species